GCACUGCUGAACAGUUCCACAAUAGGACGAAACGACCGUCUAGUGU
rfam:Schistosoma haematobium C9921067_1, whole genome shotgun sequence.